rfam:Schistosoma curassoni strain Dakar, Senegal genome assembly, scaffold: SCTD_scaffold0003551
AUCCAGCUGAUUAGUUCAAAAUAGGACGAAUUGCGCAUCCUGCAU